rnacentral:rRNA from 1 species
UACGAAGGGGGCGAGCGUUGUUCGGAUUUACUGGGCGUAAAGGGCGCGUAGGCGCUUGUCAGUCAGGCGCGAAAGCCCCGGGCUCAACCUGGGAACGGCGCUUGGGACGGCGAGGCUGGAGUUCGGGAGAGGGAAGCGGAAUUCCCGGUGUAGUGGUGAAAUGCGUAGAUAGUCGGGAGGAACACCAGUGGCGAAGGCGGCUUCCUGGCCUGUUCUUGACGCUGAGGCGGCGAAAAGCUGAGGG